UCUAUUCUGUUGUUGCAGGUUGUAGUAAGGUGUUGCUGAGACCCCAGACCUCAGAGGAAGUCUCCCAGAUUCUUAGGCACUGCUAUAAGAGGAACUUGGCUGUGAACCCACAGGGCGGGAACACUGGCAUGGUGGGUGGCAGUGUUCCUGUCUUUGACGAAGUCAUCCUGUCCACUGCCCUCAUGAAUCAAGUCAUCAGCUUUCACAAUGUAUCUGAUAGUCCAUUCUAUGUCCUGGUUGAGACCUCAGGCUCCAGUGCAGGACAUGAUGCUGAGAAGCUGACGAACGUCCUGGAGCAGGUGCUGAACUCUGGCCUGGUGACAGAUGGCACUAUGGCCACCGACCAGAGGAAAGUCCAGAUGCUAUGGGCCUUGCGGGAGAGGAUCACAGAGGCACUCAGCCGAGAUGGCUAUGUGUUCAAGUAUGACUUAUCUCUCCCUGUGGAGCGGCUCUACGACCUUGUGAUCGACCUACGCACCCGCCUUGGCCCCCGUGCCAAGCACGUGGUGGGAUAUGGACACCUGGGGGAUGGCAAUCUUCACCUGAACGUGACAGCAGAGGCCUUUAGCCGGGAGUUGCUCGGUGCCUUGGAACCUUAUGUGUAUGCCUGGACAGCGGAGCAGCGGGGCAGUGUCAGUGCGGAGCAUGGCCUGGGCUUCAAGAAGAAGGAUGUACUUGGCUAUAGCAAGCCAUCUGUGGCCGUGACGCUUAUGCAACAGCUCAAGGCCAUGCUGGACCCCAAAGGCAUCCUGAACCCCUAUAAGACUCUACCUGCCCAGGCCUAAAUGGAGCUUUUCAGCUUGUGCAAGAUGCUAGGACCUAGGCGAAGGAAGGUUUGGUGGGCCUGGAGGCCUGCCAGCUGAUGUCAUCCACAAUAGACCAGGUAACUGACUCUCACUGCUAGCCAGGAGCCAGCUCUGAGCACCCUCUGGACAAGGUUGCCUCUCUGUGGGGGCAAACAGAUCAGAUAGAGCUGCCAGGCCCUUCUUUUGUCUCCUGUGGACAGAAUAAGUGGGUGGGCAAUUGCCCUACUCCCAAACAGGCCAGAUCUCACCAGCUCUGGGGUGGGUGGCCUGUGGAGACCUGCUUUGUUGCAUCUCUAUAGCGCGUAAUUUUAAAAGAUCCCUACUUGCCUGGUGCCUUGCAAGGCUCUCAUCAGUCUCACUCAGCUUUGCUAAUGGCCCUCUGGUCAUUUUCCCCUGGAGCUGUGAUUGUUGCCCUAUCCCCUCAUGGCUAGCUUUGCCAAACUGUGACCAACAACCACCCCAGUGGAUAGAAAACACCAGACAGUUUUAUUAUCUUAAAACUAGACAGAUAACUCAAUGGCUAGGCGAAAAAUUUCCUGCCGUAAUCUUAUCAACUAGCUCCCUCCAUCUUGCCUGUCCCUCCGCCUGCAGUAGAAGCUAUAAACUCUAAGAUUUCCACUCCUACAUGUCUGCACCACCCUACUUGCUCCAAAGCCUGAUCCAAAUUCUGUUUUCUUUGUUUCCCCUUUUUCUGACUGGUACUCAAAACUUCCAUCUUUUUCCCUUCACCCAACAAUUAGCUUCUGCCUCCUUUAUUGACACAAUCAAGAACCAAUUAGGGAACCAAUACCUCUCCCUCCCAUCUCUGGGAAGAGAAGCACGUGAUCUCUUGGAUGGAUCUUACUGGACAGUUUGCCCUGUGGCAUGUAUUCUCCGAGGGCUGCAGCAGAGUUGUCUAGCCCCAGAUAAGUUACCAUGGUCAGCCAGAAUACCACAACUCAUUCCCAUACGCCUGAGUGGGAUUUGCUGUCAUAUCAAGCAGGCCUUGGAUUGGUAACUGUGGUCUACCCGGCCAGGCCAUUCCCUCAGGUUUUGUUUGUUUUGAGCCAGGGUCUCUCUACUUAACUCUGACUGUUCUGGAACUUACAAUGUAGACCAGAUAGAUAGACCUUUAACUCACAGAGAUCCUCCAUGCCCCUGACUUUGCUUCUGGCCCCUGAGCAAUGGGAUUAAAGGCAAGUGCCACU